UGACAUACCUUAAUGUUGCCUCGGCGGAUCAGCCCGCGCCCCGUAAAACGGGACGGCCCGCCAGAGGACCCAAACUCUAAUGUUUCUUAUUGUAACUUCUGAGUAAAACAAACAAAUAAAUCAAAACUUUCAACAACGGAUCUCUUGGUUCUGGCAUCGAUGAAGAACGCAGCAAAAUGCGAUAAGUAAUGUGAAUUGCAGAAUUCAGUGAAUCAUCGAAUCUUUGAACGCACAUUGCGCCCGCUGGUAUUCCGGCGGGCAUGCCUGUUCGAGCGUCAUUUCAACCCUCAAGCCCUCGGGUUUGGUGUUGGGGAUCGGCUCUGCCUUCUGGCGGUGCCGCCCCCGAAAUACAUUGGCGGUCUCGCUGCAGCCUCCAUUGCGUAGUAGCUAACACCUCGCAACUGGAACGCGGCGCGGCCAUGCCGUAAAACCCCAACUUCUGAAUGUUGACCUCGGAUCAGGUAGGAAUACCCGCUGAACUUAAGCAUAUCAAUAAGGC
rnacentral:rRNA from 1 species